rnacentral:rRNA from 1 species
UACGUAGGGUGCAAGCGUUGUCCGGAAUUAUUGGGCGUAAAGAGCUCGUAGGCGGUUUGUCGCGUCUGCUGUGAAAACUCAGGGCUUAACUCUGAGCUUGCAGUGGGUACGGGCAGACUAGAGUGCGGUAGGGGAGACUGGAAUUCCUGGUGUAGCGGUGAAAUGCGCAGAUAUCAGGAGGAACACCGGUGGCGAAGGCGGGUCUCUGGGCCGUA